UACGAACGCUGGCGGCGUGCCUAAUACAUGCAAGUCGAACGCAGUGGGGACGGGGGAGUAACACGUGGGUAACCUCCCAUCAGUGGGGAUACCACUUGGAAACAGGUGCUAAACCGAUACUGAUGGAUGGACCCGAGGUGCAUUAGCUAGUUGGGGAGGUAACGGCGCCCCAAGGCCAGGAUGCAUAGUGGACUGGAGAGGGUGAUGGGCCACACUGGGAGUGAAGCACGGCCCAGCCGCCUACGGUAGGCAGCAGUAGGGAAUCCUAGGCAAGGGACGAAAGUCUGACCGAGAAAAGCAGCAUGAGUUAAGAAGGUUUUCGGAUCGUAAAACUCUGUUGUUAGAGAAGCGGUAUCUAAAAAGAAAGCCACGGCUAACUACGUGCCAGCAACCGCGGUAAUUC
rnacentral:rRNA from 1 species